CUACGGGAUGCACCAGUAAGGAAUAUUGCGCAAUGGAGGCAACUCUGACGCAGCCAUGCCGCGUGCAGGAAGAAGGCCUUAUGGGUCGUAAACUGCUUUUAUUUAGGAAUAACCCCCUGCUCGUGAGCAGGGCUGAAGGUACUAAAAGAAUAAGCACCGGCUAACUCCGUGCCAGCAGCCGCGGUAAUACGGAGGGUGCAAGCGUUAUCCGGAUUUAUUGGGUUUAAAGGGUGCGCAGGCGGGCUAUUAAGUCAGUGGUGAAAUCCCGGGGCUCAACUCCGGAACUGCCGUUGAUACUGAUAGUCUUGAGUUUGGUUGAAGUGGGCGGAAUGUAGCAUGUAGCGGUGAAAUGCAUAGAUAUGCUACAGAACACCAAUCGCGAAGGCAGCUCACUAAGCCAAAACUGACGCUCAUGCACGAAAGCGUGGGGAGCAAACAGGAUUAGAUACCCUCGUAGUC
rnacentral:rRNA from 1 species